CUUGGAUCAUCUAUAUAUUUUUAGAAAUUCUCUAUUUCAUAUAUUUUCAUAUAUAGCAACAUAAGGUUGCUCAUGGUAUUCUCUUAUGAGUCUUAAAACUUCAACCAUAUCUGUAUAGUUCUACCUUCCUUUCAUUCUUAAUAUUAGGUAUUUGUGCCUUUCUUCUUUUCCUUGAUUAAUCCUGCUAGAUGGUUGUCCAUUUUAUUGUCUUUUCAAAGAACCAGCUUCUGGCUUUGUUGAUCAUUUUUGUGAUUGUUGAUGUCCUUUUCAUUUAUGCUUUUAUCUUUACUGUUUAUUUCCUUCCAGUUCUUUCUUUCUUUCCUUUUUUUUCUUUUUAUUUUUUUACGCUUCUCUAGUUAGUUGAAAGCUUUACUCCUGUAUGUUUAAGUCGCUCCUGUUUUAGAGUAAACGCACUUAAGACUAUAUAUUUCUCUAUAAAUGUCAGUUUAGGUCCAAUCUCCAAAUUUAAUUUUGCUUUUAUCUUUUUAUCCUCAGUACCACAUAUUUCAUAAUUCCCAUUGUGAUUUCUGUUGAUGUCUUUGAGGGGGUCAGCUUCAGAUUCUGAACUGAGAGAUAAGGUAAGGGUAGGGGGCAGGGGAGAAACACCUCUCUCUCUCUUUUUUUAAAAAACCGUUAAAGAUGGGGCUCCUGGAUGACUCAGUCAGUGGGGCAGAUCACCUUGAUCUCAGAAUUUUUUUUUUUAAGAUUUUAUUUAUUUGACAGAGUACACAAGUAGGCAGAGAGGCAGGCAGAGAGAGAGAGAGAGAGAGGAAGGGAAGCAGGCUCCCCACUGAGCAGAGACCCUGAUGCGGGGCUGGACCCCAGGAUCCUGAGACCAUGACCUGAGCCACCCAGGUGCCCCUUGAUCUCCGGAUCUUGAGUUCAAGCCCCACCCCACCUUGGCCAUGGAGCCUACUAAAAAAAGCAAAACAAAAACCUGUUAAAGAUAAGGUUGGAGGAUGAGGGUAUGUGUGACAGCUAAAUGGGUGUCCCAACACUGAAAAUGGGGAUUUGGUGGCCUUCACACCGAGUCACUGUGAUGCUGUGCCCGCCCGCCCCCGGCCCCCAGGAAGAGAGAAUGACCGAGGCCUGCAGGCAGGUCCUUCAGAGAAGGGCCCCUGGAGCAACCCGCUUUAUCUUCCCCACACUGACCAAUCAGCUGUCAUUUCCUCCUCUGGGCAGGGAGUCUCAGAGUGUUACACUCAUUCAGCUCCGUCCACACAGGAGGAAAGGUCAGGACAGGAAAGAAACGUUCCUGCAACCGUUUCACGACGAACCCAUGAGAUCGCUGGGAGUGUGCUUUUCGGUUUUCAAAGAUACAGAUGUUGUUGUUUUAAAUCCGCCUACCCUGUUGUUGCUGACUUGUAAUUUUGCCACAUUGUGGAUAGAGAAUGGGGUCUGCUUUACAUCCGCUCCAAAAUUCCUUUCCGCUUUCGUGAUGACCCAACACAAAGAGACAGAGCAAGAGAGAGAACACAAGCAGGACGAGUGGGAGACAGAGAAGCAGGCUUCCUGAUGAGCAGAGAGCCCAAUGCAGGGCUUGAUCCCAGGACCCUGGGUUCAUGACCUGAGCCAAAGGCAGACACCUAACAACUGAACCACCCAGGCACCCCUAAUUUGAUCAGUCUUAACAUUGGUUCAUAUUUCAAUGCAUGAAUAUACCACAAAUUGGCUAUAUAUUCUACUGUUGAUGAAAGUUUGGGACUUCCAAUAAAGCAAGAAAAAUAAAUUUAAAGUAUAACAAUUGGAAAUAAAGAACAAACUGUCACUAUCCAUAGACGUGGUACUGAUAGAAGAUCCAUACAAAUUAGUAAAUAAAUGAUUAGAAUUAAUAAGUGAAUUUAACAAUGUUCCUGGAUGAAAUGUCCACACUAACUACAGUAGCCUUAUAGAAGAUCUUGAAAACUAGUGUGAGUUCUGAAACUUUGUUCUUUUUUGAUGUUGUUUUUGUUAUUUGAGUUCCUUUGCCUUUUCAUGUAAAUUUAAGAAUGAACUUGUUGGCUUUUACCAAAAAGCCCAUAAAUAUUUUAUUUGGAAUUAUAUUGAAUCUAUACAUCAAUUUGGUGAUAACAGCUUAACAAAACUGAGGCCUCCAAUCCAUGAACACAGUAUAGCUCUCCAUUUAUUGAGAUGUUUUAAAAUUUCUUUCAUUAGUAUUCAGCAUACAGAUAUAUCCAAGUAUUUCAUUUUUUCC
rnacentral:lncRNA from 1 species